UACGGAGGAUGCAAGCGUUAUCCGGAAUGAUUGGGCGUAAAGCGUCCGCAGGUGGCAAUGUAAGUCUGCUGUUAAAGAGUCUAGCUCAACUAGAUAAAAGCAGUGGAAACUACAUAGCUAGAGUACGUUCGGGGCAGAGGGAAUUCCUGGUGUAGCGGUGAAAUGCGUAGAGAUCAGGAAGAACACCGGUGGCGAAGGCACUCUGCUAGGCCGUAACUGACACUGAGGGACGAAAGCUAGGGGAGCGAAUGGG
rnacentral:rRNA from 1 species